GGAGUUUGAUCAUGGCUCAGAUUGAACGCUGGCGGCAGGCCUAACACAUGCAAGUCGAGCGGAUGAGAGGAGCUUGCUCCUUGAUUCAGCGGCGGACGGGUGAGUAAUGCCUAGGAAUCUGCCUAUUAGUGGGGGACAACGUUUCGAAAGGAACGCUAAUACCGCAUACGUCCUACGGGAGAAAGCAGGGGACCUUCGGGCCUUGCGCUAAUAGAUGAGCCUAGGUCGGAUUAGCUAGUUGGUGAGGUAAUGGCUCACCAAGGCGACGAUCCGUAACUGGUCUGAGAGGAUGAUCAGUCACACUGGAACUGAGACACGGUCCAGACUCCUACGGGAGGCAGCAGUGGGGAAUAUUGGACAAUGGGCGAAAGCCUGAUCCAGCCAUGCCGCGUGUGUGAAGAAGGUCUUCGGAUUGUAAAGCACUUUAAGUUGGGAGGAAGGGUUGUAGAUUAAUACUCUGCAAUUUUGACGUUACCGACAGAAUAAGCACCGGCUAACUCUGUGCCAGCAGCCGCGGUAAUACAGAGGGUGCAAGCGUUAAUCGGAAUUACUGGGCGUAAAGCGCGCGUAGGUGGUUCGUUAAGUUGGAUGUGAAAUCCCCGGGCUCAACCUGGGAACUGCAUUCAAAACUGUCGAGCUAGAGUAUGGUAGAGGGUGGUGGAAUUUCCUGUGUAGCGGUGAAAUGCGUAGAUAUCAGGAGGAACACCAGUGGCGAAGGCGACCACCUGGACUGAUACUGACACUGAGGUGCGAAAGUGUGGGGAGCAAACAGGAUUAGAUACCCUGGUAGUCCACGCCGUAAACGAUGUCGACUAGCCGUUGGGAGCCUUGAGCUCUUAGUGGCGCAGCUAACGCAUUAAGUCGACCGCCUGGGGAGUACGGCCGCAAGGUUAAAACUCAAAUGAAUUGACGGGGGCCCGCACAAGCGGUGGAGCAUGUGGUUUAAUUCGAAGCAACGCGAAGAACCUUACCUGGCCUUGACAUGCUGAGAACUUUCCAGAGAUGGAUUGGUGCCUUCGGGAACUCAGACACAGGUGCUGCAUGGCUGUCGUCAGCUCGUGUCGUGAGAUGUUGGGUUAAGUCCCGUAACGAGCGCAACCCUUGUCCUUAGUUACCAGCACGUUAUGGUGGGCACUCUAAGGAGACUGCCGGUGACAAACCGGAGGAAGGUGGGGAUGACGUCAAGUCAUCAUGGCCCUUACGGCCAGGGCUACACACGUGCUACAAUGGUCGGUACAAAGGGUUGCCAAGCCGCGAGGUGGAGCUAAUCCCAUAAAACCGAUCGUAGUCCGGAUCGCAGUCUGCAACUCGACUGCGUGAAGUCGGAAUCGCUAGUAAUCGUGAAUCAGAAUGUCACGGUGAAUACGUUCCCGGGCCUUGUACACACCGCCCGUCACACCAUGGGAGUGGGUUGCACCAGAAGUAGCUAGUCUAACCUUCGGGAGGACGGUUACCACGGUGUGAUUCAUGACUGGGGUGAAGUCGAAACAAGGUA
rnacentral:rRNA from 1 species